GGUUGCAAAGCUUAGUUGGUCAAAGCAUCAUUCAAAUCAUGUGAAUGUCAUGGGUUCGAUCCCCAGUGUGACAA